rnacentral:lncRNA from 10 species
AGUGCAGUAGUGCAAUCUCGGCUCACUGCAACCCCCACCUCCCGGGUUGAAGCAAUUCUCCUGCUUCAGCCUCUCAAGUAGCUGAGAUUACAGUACACUUUGUACUUUAAUAUGCAAACUGCCUGCCUGCUCCAGAGAAGCAGCCUUUGUUCCUCAGUUCAUCGCAACACUCAGCCUGUCAGUCAGGUUGUGGGAUCCCUCCUAUCCAGGAACUGUAUGCUGUUGUCCCGGUUCUGACACUUUCCCUCUGAGUCCUUGGACACCUUACCUAACCUCUUGGAAGCUCCUGUCUGUGAAGGGUGUGCACAGAGAGCUUCGGUAGCCUGCGAAGCAGCCAUUUUCACUUCCACGGAGCAGAUGCUGGCCUGGGUGCUGGAAUAUGGAAAUGAGGAAGAUCCUGCCUGAGGAUUUCAUGACAGUGCUGCGAUUACCGACGUGAGCCACUGUGCCCAGCCUCACUUUAAAAAAAAAAAAAGGUUAUGAAGCAUCUCAACACAAGACCUCCUUUGCUCAUCACAACCACCCAGUGAAGCAGGCAAGACAACAGAAACUCCCCACCUGUGAUAGAUGUGAGGCCUGAAGUCUCCCACAUACCCACGGCAGAUGCAACGCACAGCGGUGACCAAUGGACAUGGUCCAAGCAGACCCUUUCCUGAGACUUUCUAAAUGGAGCUGUGUGAGAAGAGUUCCUUUCUGUUUUGCCUCUGGAGCUGAAGGUUGAGAACUCAGAGCUGCCCGUGUUCUACCCUGUGAAAAUAAAGGCAAUCAAUUCACAGAGACAAGCAGAAACAAGGCGUCCAGAGCAAGUCCUUCACAUCACCCUGGACACCCUGGCCCUGAUUUCCACUCCCUGCCAGGCUUGUUUGUCCAAUUCUUCUUUUUGUUCCAAGCACCAUCCCAGCAGGCUUAGUUACCUGUAAGCAUUUGGUUAAUCUCUCUUCUCAGCUAGACCGUAGGCUCCCCGAGUGCAGAAACUAUGUUUAUUUUGGUCUCUGCUGGAUCUCCAGCACCUAAAUAAAUGUUUAUGGUUGACUGCAAGGCAGAUCUGUGUGGGGAAUGAAGAAGAGUAUUAAGACCUCCCAGAUGGGCUGCUGGAGGCCUGUCCAAGGUGGAACUUUGCAUGGUGAGAAAUGCAAUUCAGUAGGAAAACAAAGAACUCCUUCAUCCUCCUCUAGAUUCUGCAGGCAAGUGAUCAGCUCAAGGUGAAGGAUCUAAAACCUGAAAAGAGGCCAAAUGAUUCCUCAAAACCACGCAAGUACGAAGUAGCAGAGCGGAUCUCAAAUCCAGAGCACUGCGUGUUUUGAAAUAUACAAAUAGUGGGAAACGAAAUCUUUGUUCUGGAUGCAGUUAUAAUUUGGAAAGCGAGGAAAUAAAUUAUAACAAGGGGAAAAAACAGAAUACUACUAAAGUCAUGCCGUGUGACUUCUGAAGCUAGCUCCUAAGAAGUCCUUGCAGCUUCUGCCUGCGACUCUUAGAACACUUGCUUUGAAGGAUGCCAGAUGCUGUCUUAAAAGUCUGAGCACUCUGAAACCAUCAUGCUGUGAGGAAGCCCAAGCUAACCACAUGGGCAAAAAAGAUGCCCUCUGACUGCCACCAUUUGAGACACUCUAAUUAAGAACUGCCUCAUUGAGCCCAUGAGGCCCUGUGAAUGAUAAUAAUAAAUUGUUUUUAACCACUAUGUUUUUGGAUUUGUUAUAAGUUUAUAGAUAACAAGAAAAAGUUAUAUUAGCAUGGUAAUAAAAUUAUGGAUAUGUGUAAGUUUGGUGUUUUGUUUCUUUUUUUUUUUUACACUAAGCCUAUAUUACUGUUGUAAUUUAGGAAAUCACUUGUUUUCCUCCAGCACUUCAAUGUAAGAGUGGCACUACUUAGAAUGUACUUCUUAAGAUAUGGCU